GCCCUCCAACUACUAGAAAUAUGCAUCUAAUAUUGACCCAUCUACCGGCUAACCCUAAUCCCUCACAUUGCUACAAAACAUGAUGAAUCUAUUAAAGAUAAGCAAAGAAAAUAUGGUAGACAAAAUAAUAAAGAACUACGCUUGAAAUGAACUCAUCUGGAGUUCUCCAAAUUAUACUAUCACGACAACCACAAUCCCUAUGCUUCCGCCUAUUUUUCAACAAAUAUAAACAUUUAAUUCUGUACUAUCAUUCACUUCACUAGGAGUUAAUAUAAAUAUUACUUUAUCCAAUUCUCUGAGAAACUUUCAUGAAUAUUUAGAGGAA